UCCUUGGUAGUCUAGCGGUUGAGAUUUCAUGCUUUUACCACUGAGGCCCAGGUUCAAUUCUUGGUCUGGGAA
rnacentral:tRNA from 1 species